UACAGAGGGGGCAAGCGUUGUUCGGAAUUACUGGGCGUAAAGGGCGCGUAGGCGGCCUUCUAAGUCGAACGUGAAAUCCCCAGGCUCAACUUGGGAACUGCGUCCGAUACUGGAUGGCUAGAAUCCGGGAGAGGGAUGCGGAAUUCCAGGUGUAGCGGUGAAAUGCGUAGAUAUCUGGAGGAACACCGGUGGCGAAGGCGGCAUCCUGGACCGGUAUUGACGCUGAGGCGCGAAAGCCAGGGGAGCAAACGGG
rnacentral:rRNA from 1 species